CACACAGAGGGAAGACAAUGUGAAGAUACACAUACACAUAGGGAGACAGCCAUGUGACGAUGGAGGCAGAGACUGGAGAGAUGCAGCGGCAGGCCAAGGUCACCAAGGUGGCCAGCCACCAGCAGAAGCUUUAAGAGGGAGGGCUCAACCCUGCCUUCCAGAUCUUUCAACAGGAUCAAGCCUACUGGGAUGAUUUAGGAUAACCUCCCCUAUUUAAAGUCACCUGACUGGAUUUUAAUCACAUCUACAAACUAUCUUCACAGCAACAGCUAGAUGAGUGUUCGAUGGAAUAUGUGGGGACUGCAGCCUAAGCACGUUGACAUGUCAAAGAGACCACCACACAUGUAAGGUGGCUCACUAAGGACGCAGUCCUCUUCCCUCCCCAGCCUGCUAACCGCAAGCUCCUGGACACCUUGGAAUGGAUGACAAUUUUGAGGACGGUCCUCUCUGUGGACUUAAAGGGGUCUAAGGAGCCCACAAAGCUGCUGCUGCUCUCAUCUACUGUUCCCUGAGAUUAGCGGCUCCUUAAGAAUAAAGGCUAAGAUUUUAUAUUUAUAUUUGCAUCUGGCACUGGGUUCAGUGAUCCUUGUAUAGGAUGCUUCAUCAGGGAACGUUGUUUGGAAGGUUUUUGUCUUUGUUGAGUAAAUAUUCUCUCCUGUUCCUAACCUGCCAACCCCCUUGGGCAGCUGCCAAUCUGAGUGCAUUUCCAGCUACUAAUUGAAAUAUUGGUACAACUUGCAUCCCAUCACAGUGUCAUAUAUGGCCAGGUGGCAUCAGGGGGAUAAUGAGAAAUCAUACUAGGGGUGGGAGUGGGGUGAACACACAAAUAGGUUAGAAGAAGAAGCCAUGGCACCUGUUUGUAGAGACAUUUGUAAACAAAAAAGAGCCCAGCCUGCCUAGAUCAGGGUGAAUGUUGACGUCUGGAGACCAUCGUCCUCAGCAUGGCCCGACGGCCUGAGAGAUCUCUUACUCCUGAGUGUUCCAGAUCUUUGGGAGAUCCAGGAUGCCCGUGAUACCAAGGACAAAGGGAAGAGUCUCACAAGCCAGGCCUUGGAGAACCUUUUGUCAUAACCCCUUAUUUUACAGAGACUCAGAGAGGGAGAGUGAUUUGCUUAAAGUCACACAGCCAGCUAGGCUGACAGAUCUGGUACUAGAAGCCAAGGCUCGUGAUUCUGAUGCACUUUUUAAAUUUGCACUAUGCUCUUGUGUCAACCUCAGUGAUGGCACAUUCCAGGAUACUCAGAACUCUAUCUAAGCAUCCAAAAGGGUUAGGCCUAUCUAUCUCUCCAAAGUUCCAGUGAAAUGAUACGUUCUCUGAUGGGAGUAUAUUUAACAUCUGCCCCUUAAAUAAGCAUGAAUUCUAAAUAAAAACGUUUGCAAC